CAGCCCUAACCCUAACACCCAUCCUCUGCCGCCCUUAGUCCCUUACCCAUCGCGCACUCUUCCCCUCUCACCCUCGCAUCGUCUCUCUCUGUUUCGCAGCCUCUGCUGUUCUCCGCCUCGAUGUCUCCGGCUCUCCACCAUCGGCGUAUCCAGCUCUCUGACCUUGGCGCUCUCAUCGUCUCUCUCUGUCUUGCAGCCUCUCCGUUUCCGAUUCUCCGCCCUCUGCGUCUCCGACUCCAUGCCCUCAGCGCUUUCAUGCUCGAAGGUGCUGGUAGAAAGGCCCAGUCAACCUGGUAGAAGAGGGUUCAGGAAUUCCAAAGUCGUUUCUCCCCUCGCUCUAAAUCUGCCCCCUACCAGAGAGCUUUCUUGUCAGAUACAUGAAGAGGCCAGGAAGUUUUCUUAUGAGACAGGAUUAAAAAUAGUGGUUGCAUAUGGAGGGGCAUCAAUACUUCCAUAGGUGGAAUCAGCAAAUGUUGAUGGGCAUGCUAAAAUUGGGUCUAGUGAAACUGCUCAGCAGAUGUCACAUUCUCAACCUGGCACAGUGGGACAGAACCAACCAAAGGGAGCUGAUGUUCAAUUCCUUGCUAAGCUGACUCGUGUUCUUGAAAAAAAGGUGUACUCUUGGUAAUGCAGGGAUAUAAAUUGUUUGGUAUGCUGUGUUGCUGUUGAAACUCUUAAAGAAGGGGUUCUAUCAUUUUUGCCUCUCCUAGUCCACUCCUUCCCAAAACAAAUGAGAAACACAAAUAAUGUAGGAAGUGCACACUGGAAAAUGCUUAAGACAUUAGUAUUUAUAGGCUAUUUCCCACCAAAAUUUAGAUUCAAAAGAUGUAAUCAUUAUUUUUUUAGCAUGCCUUUUAUUGUAACUUGUAAAAGUAAGCAACACAUCGGGAAAUGAUACUAUUUAAUGCCUUGUUUUAAUCAGUC